UACGGAGGGAGCUAGCGUUGUUCGGAAUUACUGGGCGUAAAGCGCGCGUAGGCGGCUUUGCAAGUUAGAGGUGAAAGCCCGGGGCUCAACCCCGGAAUUGCCUUUAAAACUGCAUCGCUUGAAUCCGGGAGAGGUGAGUGGAAUUCCGAGUGUAGAGGUGAAAUUCGUAGAUAUUCGGAAGAACACCAGUGGCGAAGGCGGCUCACUGGACCGGUAUUGACGCUGAGGUGCGAAAGCGUGGGGAGCAAACAGG
rnacentral:rRNA from 1 species